GAUGAAGAACGUAGCGAAAUGCGAUAAGUAAUGUGAAUUGCAGAAUUCAGUGAAUCAUCGAAUCUUUGAACGCAUCUUGCGCUCCUUGGUAUUCCGAGGAGCAUGCCUGUUUGAGUGUCAUUAAAUUCUCAACUACACUGAUUUUUUUUUUUUGGUUGGUGUAGAUUGGAUUUGGGGGGAUUUUUUGCGGGCUUUGUAAAAUGAAGUCAGCUCCCCUGAAAUUGAUUAGCGGUACCUUUGUGGAACUGUCUACAGGUGUGAUAAUUAUCUACAUCUUAGACAUCUGCUGGAAUGCUGCUUUCUAAACCUUACUUGUAUUGACAAUCUUGACCUCAAAUCAGGUAGGACUACCCGCUGAACUUAAGCAUAUCAAUAAGCGGAGGA
rnacentral:misc_RNA from 1 species